ACUGGAUUUGGGAGGAGAGAAGGGGUGAGGCCGACCGGACUCAGGAGAGGCUGGGAGGAUAAAACCGAUGACGGGCUGUAGUCACUUCUUUUUUAUCCCUCUCCCGCUGCUCUUCAACGCUUCAGAAGGGCCCCAAGCUUUUCCAGAUGAAAAUUGGGUCAUCCCAGAGACUCUGACAUAUUAACAUAUUAGAACAUGUUAGAACCGGAUAUGGAACAACAGACUGGUUCCAAAUUGGGAAAGAAGUAUGUCAAGGCUGUAUAUUGUCACCCUGCUUAUUUAACCUAUAUGCAGAGCCUAUCAUGUGGAAUACUGGGCCGGAUGAAGCAUAAGCUAGAAUCAAGAUUGCUGGGAGAAAUAUCAAUAACCUCAGAUAUGCAGAUGACACCACCCUUAUGGCAGAAAGUGAAGAAGAACUGAAGAGCUUCUUGAUGAAAGUGAAAGAGGAGAGUGAAACAGUUGGCUUAAAACUCAAUAUUCAGAAAACAGAGAUCAUGGCAUCUGGUCCCAUCACUUCAUGGCAAAUAGAUGGGGAAACAAUGGAAACAGUGACAGACUUUAUUUUCUUGGGCUCCAAAAUAACUGCAGAUGGUGGCUGUAGCCAUGAAAUUAAAAGAUGCUUGCUCCUUGGAAGAAAAGCUAUGACCAACCCAGACAGCAUAUUAAAAACCAGAGACAUUACUUUGCCAACAAAGGUCUGUCUAGUCAAGGCUAUGGUUUUUCCAGUAGUCAUGUAUGGAUGUGAGAGUUGGACCAUAAAGAAAGCUGAGCACUGAAGAACUGAUGCUUUGAACUGUGGUGUUGGAGAAGACUCUUGAGAGUCCCUUGGACAGCAAGGAGAUCAAACAAGUCAAUCCUAAAGGAAAUCGUCCCGAAUAUUCAUUGGAAGGACUGAUGCCAAAGCUGAAACUCCAAUACUUUGGCCACCUGAUGCAAAGAACUGACUCAUUGGAAAAGACCCUCAUGCUGGGCAAGAUUGAAGGCAGGAGGAGAAGGGGACGACAGAGGAUGAGAUGGUUGGAUGGCAUCACUGACUCAAUGGACGUGAGUUUGAGCAAACUCCGGGAUUUGGUGAUGGACAGGGAAGCCUGGUGUGGUUCAGUCCAUGAGGUCACAAAGAGUUGAACAUGAGUGACUGAACUGAACUGAACUGAACUUAGAAGGCUAGAAGCCAAGUUUGGUCUGGUCUCUUUAGUGCAGGUGUUUGAAUGGAGUGUUUGUGUUGAGUGCUUUGGCAGGUUGCACCAGUUCUACAGAUGAUUCUAAUGUACUCUUAAGUUUGAGAAUCACUGCUCUUCUAGAGCAAGCCCAAGGCCCAAGUACAGACUGCUAAAGCAAGAAGGAGCAUCCACAUAACUGACUCUCAUAAGUUUUUCUAUACCUGUAAUUUGUUUUUUUCCUUCCUUCCUAUUUAGGUGGAAAUGGUGUAUACUUGGACCAGUGACUGGAUAAAGGUGUCACUGAAAGGAAACUUUGUGGUUAAUCUAAAUAUUUCUCUAUUACUGCAUGUUAGAUCUAUUGGUCAGAGAAGGCAAUGGCACCCCACUCCAGUACUCUUGCCUGGAAAAUCCCAUGGAUGGAGGAGCCUGGUAGGCUGCAGUCCAUGGGGUCGUGAAGAGUUGGACAUGACUGAACGACUUCACUUUCAUGCAUUGGAGAAGAAAAUGGCAACCCACUCCAGUGUUCUUGCCUGGAGAAUCCCAGGGAUGGGGUCACACAGAGUCGGACACGACUGAAGUGACUUAGCAGUAGCAGCAGAUCUAUUGGUGGCAGUCAAGUUAUAAAGAGGUUGCAAGAUCCACAUUUAGAUUGCACUGAACUAGAUGAGGAAGGGGCAUGUCCAUGCCAUGUUGUUGCUCUGGAUGCAGUAGCUGCAUGUGACUGGCAGUUGUCCAUAGAUUGUUAGGUGUGGGCAUUUUGGAAUUGUAGAUAUGGGGGAAAAUGGCCUAUGGGUUUAUGAGGCAGUCAAAAGGAGGACUGUAUGUAAACAUCUAUUUUGUCUCCCCUAUACCCCUUUGCUACCCUUUUCUCUACCUUACUCCCAUGGUUGCAUCAGGAGCCAUUCUUUAUGUACUUUCCCUGAGAAUUUGGGAUUGAGCUAGAGGAGGAAAGAUGAAAAAUCCUGGCUGCAUUUCAGCAUCUGAUUUAUUUGUUCCUAAGGGCCAUCUGCAUUAUCCUUGUGUUUUGUGAGAUACCACCACCAACUUUAUAAUAAAUUCCUCUUUUUGUUUAAGCUUGUUCAAAUUGGGUUUCUGUUACUUAAAAACACGAAACAUAUAUAUCAGAAGAGAAACUUUAUGCUAAACAUAGGCCAUAGAGAGGAUAAACAGAGGCCAAAGCCUUGAAAGUAGAAAGGGACAGUGAAUGUCACAGAAUAGUGGUUAAAGUGUGUGCUUUGGAGCUGAGAUCUGGGCUCCAAAACCUGUUCAACCCCUUACCUGCUAUAUAACAAAUUAUUUAACCUUUUGAGCCCUUAAUAUAUCUGUGAAACAUAGACUCAUUAAGUUUUCAUCAGAUUUAUUUGGUACCUACUAUGUGCCAGGAAUAACGCUUUGGUUAAGUUAGUGUUAGUCGCUCAGUCGUGUCUGACUCUUUGUGACGCCUGGACUUUAGCUCACCAGGCUCUUCUGUCCAUGGAAUUCUCCAGUCAAGAAUACUGAAGUCAGUUGCCAUUUCCUUCUCCAGGGGAUCUUCCCGACCUAGGGAUUGAACCCGAGUCUCCCGCACUGUAGGCAGAUUCUUUACCAUCUGAGCCACAAGGCAAGCCCACUAUGUGCCAGGAAUAACAUUAGGCUGGGAGUAAACAGUUCUCAACCCACUACAAUAUUGUAAAGUAAUUAGCCUCCAACUAAUAAAAAUAAAUGGAAAAAAAAGAGUUCUCAAGACAGUCAAGGAGCUCAGAAGCUUGUGAAGAUUAAAUGAUAUAUUAAAGUGUUUGGCACAGUAAGCACCUAACAAAUCUUAAUCAUUAAAGUGAAAGGUAGAGAGAAGCAUAAAGAGGUUGCAUGGAGAGUUCACAUUGUAUUAAAUCUUGUCUUCCAUCUAAGUAGUUAACUAGCUGUUUUAGUUUCUGUUAAGGCCCCACUUAGCUUUCUUUAUUGCCCAAAUCUGUGGGGGCUGUUUGAGAGGCCGUAAGCUUAUAAUGGUAAUAGGAAAUAAUUCAUUAGAAGGUCUAAUGAGGCUGCUAUAUUGCUUCUGUUUCUUAAACCAGCAAUAAUAGCAGGGAGGUUAUUUGAUUAGUAAAGAAAACAAUGACUGUGGUUCUCAACCCUAGUUAGGUUAAUAUGAUAUUAAUAUAUUAUCUGGGGAGCUUUUUAAAACAAUACUAAUUAGGGGGAUGGGGCCCAGACACUAUUUUUAUUUUACAUUGUGGUAAAAUAUAUAUAACACAAAAUUUACCAUCUUAACCAUUUUUUAAUAAAUUAAUUUAUUGCUCUUAAUUGGAGGCUAAUUACGUCACAAUAUUGUAGUGGUUUUUGCCAUACAGUUCAGUAGUAGUGUUAAGUAUAUUCACUUUGUUGUGCAACCAAGGCACUAAUUUUUAAAAAUACCUCCCUGGGUGACUUCAAUAUGCAAAUAGGGAUAAGAACCUCUGAGCUGGAAUGGAGAAAUCUUACAAAUAUUGGUUAAAUUCCUGAGUCUACUUCCUCAUUUGUAACAUGCAUGUGAGCUAGUCUUCCUCUAUUUAUCCCAAAGUCUUCUUCCUAUUCAGACUAUCAUCUAUGCUGUACUUCAUUUCUGUCUUGAGCUCCUGUCUUAAGACCCACCUUCUCAAUUUCCUCAACUCCUACAACUUGAGCUCCUCCUAAAUUCUUUAGUCACAGACUUAAUUAUGUCAUCUCAUUCUUUUAUAUAAUGCUCAUUAAUGAUGGCACAUUUUAAAUGGGUUUUAUUGUGUUUUAUCCUCCACCUUAAAUAUUUUCAUCUCUGAACCUCACUUUAUAUCAUCUAUCAUUGCAGCCAAUACUCAGUCUUUCCCCAGCAGGCUUGCUGUUGAUUUGCAGAUUGGCUUCAGCUUUAUUACAUCUCUAUGACUGUUUCCUCUUCUCUUUAGUGAUAUGUAAGGUCCCUUCAGGAGUUGUUACUGUUAUUUGAGCAAACCUACUAUGUGCCAGGCACAGUGCUAAGGCCUUUAUGUUUUUCUUUUUUUACUUAGUCUCAAAAUACCACCACUGAGGUAUUUUUACAGAUAAGGAAAUUGAAGCUAAUAAGUUAAGUAAUUUUCGUAAGUUCACAAAGCUAGAAUACAAAUCCAGGUCUGCUGGACUCCAAAAGGCAUCUGUAUUAACUAUAAUCUGAACGAGGGCCCAUUUCUAAACCAGUCUGAUUUCCCAAGUGCAAGUUUGUUGUGAAAGUCACUAGAGUUGUCUAACAAUAAGCACACUUAGCAAAUUUGGGACAUAUCUCAUUUAAUAGUCAAAACCACCUCAUUUUACAAAUGAGAAAACAGAAGUUUGAGAAAUCUGUAGAUCAAAAAACCUGUGCUUGUUCCACUGUGUAUCCUCCCUUUGUUGUUGUUUAGUUGCUAAGUUGUGCUGACUCUUUUGUGACCCUAGGGACUGUGGCCUGCCAUGCUCCUCUGUCCAUGGGAUUUCCCAAGCAAGAAUACUGGAGUGGGUUGCCAUUUCCUUUCUCCAGAUCUUCCCUUUAGGGAUCACCUAAGAGAGAAUACCUUGGAGUCACUGAAUCAUUAAAUCAAGAGUAGCAGAAACAAGGAGGCAUAUGGUUUGUUAGUCUCAUGAGUUCUAGAGCGCAAGAUGUACAAAUAGAUGAAAGAAAUCAAAUAUAGAUGUCUCCAUCAAUGAAGAAGUCUCCUAAUCUGAACAUCAUGCAUGACAGAGUGAGGUUAUCAAAUUCUCUCCCUCAAAAGCAAUAAGAAAACUGGACAAAACUCUCGAAAACAAUUUCAGCAAUCUGGAAUUUGGCCAAAGGCAUGCAACAAAAUCAAAAGUGUUAUACAUGAACACCACUCAACUUUUAAGAACUAUGUAAUCUGUGGCAUUUUUGCCCAGGGCUGCUCCUGUUAACUGUUCAUCAGCUCUUUUUGACCAGCAAUUCAAACACAGCAGCGGUGGUGCGGCACCGGAGCAGCUGAGAUGUGAUACCCCAUGUCCAGGGUCAGGAGUGGCGGCCGAGAGGAGAUACCCCAUGUCCAAGGUCAGG